CGAAGGAGGCUAGCGUUGUUCGGAAUUACUGGGCGUAAAGCGCGCGCAGGCGGUUCUUCAAGUCAGAGGUGAAAGCCCAGAGCUCAACUCUGGAAUGGCCUUUGAGACUAGAGAACUAGGGUACGGGAGAGGUGAGUGGAAUUCCGAGUGUAGAGGUGAAAUUCGUAGAUAUUCGGAAGAACACCAGUGGCGAAGGCGGCUCACUGGCCCGUUACCGACGCUCAGGCGCGACAGCGUGGGGAGCAAACAGGAUUAGAUACCCUGGUAGUCCACGCCGUAAACGAUGGAUGCUAGCCGUUGGUAAGCAUGCUUAUCAGUGGCGCAGCUAACGCAUUAAGCGUCCCGCCUGGGGAGUACGGCCGCAAGGUUG
rnacentral:rRNA from 1 species